rnacentral:misc_RNA from 1 species
ACUGUGCUUACUUGCCAUGAUGAAUGCAGGUCUGUAGUCACUAAAAAAAACAGAACAAGUGCUGGCAAUAGAAUUUCAAUUGUCAAAAAAUAGAGUAAACUCUAAAAGUUACGAUACAUGCCAACAGAACUACAAGUUGAUAUAUGGUACCGACUUGAUUUACCAAAAGGGAAGUGUGAUAAAACUUAUGUUCUGCCCAAAAUGUCAUAAAGGGCCACAACAAUAUUUCCAUAGCACUGCCUAACGAGUGAGGCAUCUUUGUCCCUCGCUGCAUAAUCUAGUCUGGUAACAUUAUUGAAGAGAUCAG